rnacentral:rRNA from 1 species
UAGGGAAUCUUCGGCAAUGGACGAAAGUCUGACCGAGCAACGCCGCGUGAGUGAAGAAGGUUUUCGGAUCGUAAAACUCUGUUGUUAGAGAAGAACAAGGACGUUAGUAACUGAACGUCCCCUGACGGUAUCUAACCAGAAAGCCACGGCUAACUACGUGCCAGCAGCCGCGGUUAUACGUAGGUGGCAAGCGUUGUCCGGAUUUAUUGGGCGUAAAGCGAGCGCAGGCGGUUUCUUAAGUCUGAUGUGAAAGCCCCCGGCUCAACCGGGGAGGGUCAUUGGAAACUGGGAGACUUGAGUGCGGAAGAGGAGAGUGGAAUUCCAUGUGUAGCGGUGAAAUGCGUAGAUAUAUGGAGGAACACCAGUGGCGAAGGCGGCUCUCUGGACUGUAACUGACGCUGAGGCUCGAAAGCGUGGGGAGCAAACAGG